GACGAACCGAGCGAACGUUGUUCGGAAUCACUGGGCUUAAAGGGCGCGUAGGCGGCUUGCCAAGUCAGGGGUGAAAUUUUGCGGCUUAACCGUAACAGUGCCUUUGAUACUGGCAGGCUAGAGGGAGACAGGGGUCCGCGGAACUUCUGGUGGAGCGGUGAAAUGCGUUGAUAUCAGAAGGAACGCCGGUGGCGAAAGCGGCGGACUGGAUCUUUUCUGACGCUGAGGCGCGAAAGCUAGGGGAGCAAACGGG
rnacentral:rRNA from 1 species